rnacentral:tRNA from 1 species
GGGGGCGUAGUUAAGCUGGUUAUAACGCCGGCCUGUCACGCCGGAGGCCGCGAGUUCGAAUCUCGUCGCUCCCGUCA